rnacentral:lncRNA from 1 species
GGACGAGAGCUUCCAGAAAAAGAUCCUCUCAGACAUUGCACGCGCAGGAGAUGCCGUUGAGAAGCUGUAUGGAACUGCACAAGACAUCGAAGGGGUGAUCAGAGACGGGAAGCUCUAUGUCGUCCAGACACGACCACAAGUGUGAUCAAAUUCUCCGACCACUUCUCAGUGUAUACGAUGACGUCCUUUGUCAAGCGAACUUCUUAUUUGCUCUAUAAGCAAAGAGUAAAAAGCAUAAGCAUAUGUGUAGUACAAAAUAACAUCAUAUCGCAUCGCUUAUAUAUUAAUUGAGAAGCAUUACAACAUUUUUUUGUAGCCACGUGUCAUCACUAAAAUGACUCUUA